rnacentral:lncRNA from 1 species
UUGGGUUAAAUGUAUAAAUAAUUGACUGUUGAAAAAACAGUGAAAAAGAAAGUUGUGGAGAAGAAAACAGAGAAAAGAUUGUAUCAGAUCUGAAAAGCAGAAGAGUCCAAGAAAAAAAGAAAAAAAGAAAAAAAAACGUAAUGAAUUUAGACCGUUAACUAGUUGAUUAAAGUUUGAAAUAAGUAGAAGAAGAAAUGGACAAAAGCAAAAAUGGUUAGGUUUGGGUUGGUUGCAGAAUGCACACGCGUG